GAGGGUGCCACAAGACCUGCUAACUCUUUAAUCUGGGAAUAACCCCCAGCUCCCUC
rnacentral:tRNA from 1 species